rnacentral:rRNA from 1 species
UACAGAGGUCUCGAGCGUUGUUCGGAUUCAUUGGGCGUAAAGGGCGCGUAGGCGGCGGGGUAAGUCUGGUGUGAAAUCUAGGAGCUCAACUCCUAAACUGCACUGGAUACUGCUCUGCUGGAGGACUGGAGAGGAGACUGGAAUUCACGGCGUAGCAGUGAAAUGCGUAGAUAUCGUGAGGAAGACCAGUGGCGAAGGCGGGUCUCUGGACAGUUCCUGACGCUGAGGCGCGAAGGCCAGGGGAGCAAACGGG